GUGCUCGCUCCGGCAGCACAUAUACUAAAACUGGACCGAUACAGAGAUUAGCAUGGCCCCUGCGCGAGGAUGACAGGCAAAUUUGUGAAGCAUUCCAUAUUUUU
ensembl:snRNA U6 U6 spliceosomal RNA